CAGUCGCCGCGGUAAUACGGAGGGUGCAAGCGUUAAUCGGAAUUACUGGGCGUAAAGCGCACGCAGGCGGUCUGACAAGUCAGAUGUGAAAUCCCCGGGCUUAACCUGGGAACUGCAUUUGUAACUGUCAGGCUGGAGUCUUGUAGAGGGGGGUAGAAUUCCAGGUGUAGCGGUGAAAUGCGUAGAGAUCUGGAGGAAUACCGGUGGCGAAGGCGGCCCCCUGGACAAAGACUGACGCUCAGGUGCGAAAGCGUGGGGAGCAAACAGGAUUAGAUACCCCGGUAGUCCCUGUCUCUUAUAC
rnacentral:rRNA from 1 species